GACGAACGCUGGCGGCGUGCCUAAUACAUGCAAGUAGAACGCACAGUUUAUACCGUAGCUUGCUACACCAUAAACUGUGAGUUGCGAACGGGUGAGUAACGCGUAGGUAACCUGCCUGGUAGCGGGGGAUAACUAUUGGAAACGAUAGCUAAUACCGCAUAAUAUUGAUUAUUGCAUGAUAAUUGAUUGAAAGAUGCUAUUGCAUCACUACCAGAUGGACCUGCGUUGUAUUAGCUAGUAGGUGAGGUAACGGCUCACCUAGGCGACGAUACAUAGCCGACCUGAGAGGGUGAUCGGCCACACUGGGACUGAGACACGGCCCAGACUCCUACGGGAGGCAGCAGUAGGGAAUCUUCGGCAAUGGACGAAAGUCUGACCGAGCAACGCCGCGCGAGUGAAGAAGGUUUUCGGAUCGUAAAGCUCUGUUGUAAGAGAAGAACGGGUGUGAGAGUGGAAAGUUCACACUGUGACGGUAUCUUACCAGAAAGGGACGGCUAACUACGUG
rnacentral:rRNA from 1 species